rnacentral:rRNA from 1 species
AUUGAACGCUGGCGGCAGGCCUAACACAUGCAAGUCGAGCGAGCGGCGAACGGGGGAGAAAUGUCUGGGAAACUGCGUGUUGGAGGGGGAUAAAUCUUGGAAACGGUAGCUAAUACACCAAACCAUCAGGUGUGCCCAGGUGGGAUUAGCUAGUAGGUGGGGUAACGGCUCACCUAGGCGACGAUCCCUCGCUGGUCUGGGAGGAUGACCAGCCACACUGGAACUGAGACACGGUCCAGACGCCUACGGGAGGCAGCAGUGGGGAAUAUUGCACAAUGGGCGCAAGCCUGAUGCAGCCAUGCCGCGUGUGUGAAGAAGGCCUUCGGGUUGUAAAGCACUUUCAGCGGGGAGGCGUUACCCGCAGAAGAAGCACCGGCUAACUCCGUGCCAGCAGCCGCGGUAAUAC